GUCUAUGACCAAACUACCCUGAAUGUUGAUAUCAGAAACUAAGCACAGUCUUACCUUGUUAGUACUUAGAUGGGAGACAACUUGGGAAUACUGGGUGCUGUAAGUU
rnacentral:rRNA from 1 species